rnacentral:rRNA from 1 species
AUAUUAAAGGCGACGCUGCCCAGUGAAAAAUUAAACGGCCGCGGUAUCCUAACCGUGCAAAGGUAGCACAAUCAUUUGUCUAUUAAUUGUAGACCUGUAUGAAAGGCAAAAUGAGAGCCCAACUGUCUCUUACAACAAAUCAAUUAAACUGAUCUCCUAGUACAAAAGCUAGAAUAUUACCAUAAGACCAGAAGACCCUGUGAAGCUUUAACUAACCUAUUAAACUCAAUAAUAGCUACUUUUGGUUGGGGCGACCUUGGAAUAAAAAAGAACUUCCAACAUAUGACUUCCUCAUACAACUAGGCAAACACGCCAAUAACAGACCCAGUACACCUGAUAAUUGAAAUAAGUUACAUUAGGGAUAACAGCGCCAUCUUCUUUAAGAGCCCAUAUCAAAAAGAAGGUUUACGACCUCGAUGUUGGAUCAGGACAUCCCAGUAAUGCAACCGUUACUAAAGGUUCGUUUGUUCAACGAUUAAUAGUCCUACGAGAUCUGAG